rnacentral:rRNA from 1 species
GAUGAACGCUGGCGGCGUGCCUAAUACAUGCAAGUCGAGCGAACAGACGAGGAGCUUGCUCCUCUGACGUUAGCGGCGGACGGGUGAGUAACACGUGGAUAACCUACCUAUAAGACUGGGAUAACUUCGGGAAACCGGAGCUAAUACCGGAUAAUAUAUUGAACCGCAUGGUUCAAUAGUGAAAGACGGUUUUGCUGUCACUUAUAGAUGGAUCCGCGCCGCAUUAGCUAGUUGGUAAGGUAACGGCUUACCAAGGCAACGAUGCGUAGCCGACCUGAGAGGGUGAUCGGCCACACUGGAACUGAGACACGGUCCAGACUCCUACGGGAGGCAGCAGUAGGGUAUCUUCCGCAAUGGGCGAAAGCCUGACGGAACAACGCCGCGUGAGUGAUGAAGGUCUUCGGAUCGUAAAACUCUGUUAUUAGGGAAGAACAAAUGUGUAAGUAACUAUGCACGUCUUGACGGUACCUAAUCAGAAAGCCACGGCUAACUACG